rnacentral:rRNA from 1 species
GACAGAGGUGGCGAGCGUUGUUCGGAUUUAUUGGGCGUAAAGCGCACGCAGGCGGUUUGGUAAGUCAGAGGUGAAAGCCCACAGCUUAACUGUGGGACUGCCUUUGAUACUGCCUUUCUCGAGUGCAUGAGGGGGAAGCGGAAUUCCGAGUGUAGAGGUGAAAUUCGUAGAUAUUCGGAGGAACACCGGUGGCGAAGGCGGCUUCCUGGCAUGUAACUGACGCUCAGGUGCGAAAGCGUGGGUAGCAAACAGG